AGGCUGCAACCCGCCUGCAUGAAGUCGGAAUUGCUAGUAAUCGCGGAUCAGCAUGCUGCGGUGAAUACGUUCCCGGGCCUUGUACACACCGCCCGUCACACCAUGGGAGUCGGUAACACCCGAAGUCGGUAGUCUAACCGAAAGGAGGACGCCGCCGAAGGUGGGAUUGAUGACUGGGGUGAAGUCGUAACAAGGUAGC
rnacentral:rRNA from 1 species